AUUGCCCAACACAUGAUUCAAGCCUUUCUCAGCCACGGCAAUUUGAAGGCUUCUGCAAAAGUCUUGCAGCUCGAUCGCCUUGGUGCUAGACGCAUUCUAGAUUGACUUCUAUCUCAGUGCCGUCCUUCUAAUGAAUCUAGAAGAUUUCAAAAAUUGGAUUUCUUUCACUUCCCCGGGACACAACUAGUGCUGGCUCAUAAGUGUAUCUGAUAAAGGAAAAGCAGCAGUCUGGUGUGGAGGUCUAAAUAAAAAGAGAAACAUAAACCAUGGGAGCUGCUGCAUUUGGGUGGCGAUAAUUUAAAUACAUGAAUAAUUAUGAAAGAACUAGAUCAGGUCAGUGUUAUGGCGAGCCCAAAGGUAGGUUUUAGGUUUUCUUUGAUUAUGUUUUCUUUUUCUACUCGCUACUUGGAACCUUUUUGUCUUUCUAGUUACUCCUGGUUUCAUUGUGUUAAUCUUGCUUUUCAGUAGCAUGUAAAAUGUUUUUCACUAAUUGUUCUGUAGUACUUAUAUUUGUCAUUUCAAUGUCAAUUUUCCCUUUUUCCUA